rnacentral:rRNA from 1 species
UACGUAGGGGGCAAGCGUUGUCCGGAAUCAUUGGGCGUAAAGAGGCGUGUAGGCGGCCUGGUAAGUCCGCUGUGAAAGUCCAGGGCUCAACCCUGGAAUGCCGGUGGAAACUGUCCAGGCUCGAGUCCGGAAGAGGCGAGUGGAAUUCCCGGUGUAGCGGUGAAAUGCGCAGAUAUCGGGAGGAACACCAAUGGCGAAGGCAGCUCGCUGGGACGGUACUGACGCUGAGGCGCGAAAGCGUGGG